rnacentral:rRNA from 2 species
UGGGGAAUCUUGCGCAAUGGGCGAAAGCCUGACGCAGCGACGCCGCGUGCGGGAAGAAGGCCUUCGGGUUGUAAACCGCUUUCAGGAGGGACGAAGCCACUCGGGUGAAUAGCCCAGAGGGUGACGGUACCUCCAGAAGAAGCCCCGGCUAACUACGUGCCAGCAGCCGCGGUAAUACGUAGGGGGCUAGCGUUGUCCGGAUUUAUUGGGCGUAAAGCGCGUGUAGGCGGCCAGAUAGGUCUGCUGUGAAAACUCGAGGCUCAACCUCGAGCUGUCGGCGGAAACCAUCCGGCUAGAGUCCGGAAGAGGAGAGUGGAAUUCCCGGUGUAGCGGUGAAAUGCGCAGAUAUCGGGAAGAACACCUGUGGCGAAGGCGGCUCUCUGGGACGGUACUGACGCUGAGACGCGAAAGCGUGGGGAGCAAACAGG